rnacentral:rRNA from 1 species
UACGAAGGGGCUAGCGUUGUUCGGAGUUACUGGGCGUAAAGGGCGCGUAGGCGGCCCUCCAAGUCGGGCGUGAAAGCCCACGGCUCAACCGUGGAAUUGCGCUCGAGACUGAAGGGCUCGAGGACGGGAGAGGAUGGUGGAAUUCCCAGUGUAGAGGUGAAAUUCGUAGAUAUUGGGAAGAACACCGGUGGCGAAGGCGGCCCACUGGCUCGAUACUGACGCUGAGGUGCGAAAGCGUGGGGAGCAAACAGG